rnacentral:rRNA from 1 species
AGAACGAACGCUGGCGGCAUGCCUAAUACAUGCAAGUCGAACGAACUCUUCGGAGUUAGUGGCGCACGGGUGCGUAACGCGUGGGAAUCUGCCCCUUGGUUCGGAAUAACAGUUGGAAACGACUGCUAAUACCGGAUGAUGACGAAAGUCCAAAGAUUUAUCGCCAAGGGAUGAGCCCGCGUAGGAUUAGCUAGUUGGUGAGGUAAAGGCUCACCAAGGCAACGAUCCUUAGCUGGUCUGAGAGGAUGAUCAGCCACACUGGGACUGAGACACGGCCCAGACUCCUACGGGAGCAGCAGUGGGGAAUAUGCACAAUGGGCAAAGCCUGAUGCAGCGACGCCGCGUGAGGGGUGAAGGCCGUUCGGUUGUAAACCUCUUUCGAGGCGAGGGACGAAGCGACAAGUGAUGGUACCUGACAGAAGAAGCACCGGCUAACACGUGCCAGCAGCGC